GUGUUGGUCCCGUGCGAUGCGGCCCGUGAACCCCGUCAGGACUGGAAGGUAGCAGCGGUAAGCGGUCAACCGUAUGCGCCGCGGGGGUGCCUGCCAGCC
rnacentral:SRP_RNA from 1 species